UAGAUCGUCUCGAUACGAGUUCGUGAGCGCAAACGGAUCAUAAAUCGGAGUUCGGACGAGAAAGUUAUGGCCGAAACAAAAACAUCGCGCGCAGCAGUCAAAAUUCGGCGACCUAAACGGCGACCGCCGACAAUUGGCAUUUUAAAGAAGAAAUUUGGCGACCUAAACGGCGACCGCCGAGUUGGUCGCCGAAUUACCUGGAUGGAUUUUGGCCUUCGGUGGAAAAAACGGCGGUCGCCGUUUUUGAGCAGUUUUUGCCUUGAAUUCGGCGACCA
rnacentral:lncRNA from 1 species